rnacentral:rRNA from 1 species
CAGAACGAACGCUGGCGGCGCGUUUAAGCAUGCAAGUCGAGCGGCAAGGGCCUUCGGGCCCUAGAGCGGCGGACGGGUGAGUAACACGUGGACAAUCUGCCCCCCGGCCCGGGAUAGCCCAGGGAAACCUGGAUUAAUACCGGAUGAGACGGGACCCGCGAUGGCGGGAUCCGGGAAAGGCGCUGCGGCGCCGCCGGGGGAUGAGUCUGCGUCCCAUUAGCUAGACGGCGGGGUAACGGCCCACCGUGGCGACGAUGGGUAGCCGGCCUGAGAGGGUGGACGGCCACAUUGGAACUGAGACACGGUCCAGACUCCUACGGGAGGCAGCAGCUAAGAAUCUUCCGCAAUGGGCGAAAGCCUGACGGAGCCGACGCCGCGUGAACGAAGAAGGCCGUGAGGUUGUAAAGUUCUUUUCGGGAGGGGGAACAACCGUGGCAGGGAAUGGCCGCGGGAUGACGUGAAUCCCGGAAUAAGCCCCGGCUAACUACGUGCCAGCCGCCGC